CUAUAGUUAUAAUUGGUCUCUUACAAUUCCUAUCAAUUCAGACACAGUUUCUCUUCCCCUCCAGCUCUAACUCCCCUCUCCCCAAGCCCCAAUUCCCACCCCAGGCAAGCCCCACCCGUGUCUCCCCCUCCUCCUCCUCCUCCUCCUCCUUCCACACUAAACACCCCUUUUUUUUUUUUCCUGUUUUCUCUGCUUUCCCCCUUUUUUUUUUCCCCAGAGUACAUCCAGAAAUAUGCAACAGAAGAAGCACUGAAGGAGCAGGAGGAAGGCACCGGGGACAGCUCCUCCGAGAGCUCCAUGUCCGACUUCUCCGAGGACGAGGCCCAGGACAUGGAAUUGUAGUUGGGAUGAGCAGGAAGGAGGAGGAGGAGGAGGAGGAGGAAGAGGAGGAAUAAUGAGCAGCCCCCCCCCCCCCCUGCUUUUCAGAGACCUCAAUUUCCUAACCAUGAGGAAGCAGAACUGUAUAAUAUUCAUAUUAAACCAGAAGAAAAAAAAAAAAUAAAAAAAGGAGAAAAAAAAACAAAAAAAAAAAAGCAAUUUUUUUUAUUACUAAAAAAAAAACAAACAAACAAGGUUUUUAUGGAUUAUAGCAUUGAUAUAUUAUAUCUAUAUCUCUCUCUCUCUCUCUCUCUCUCUCUCUCACCUCACCCCUUUAGAGCCUGAGAUUUUUCCCUCCCUCCCUUCCUUUCCUUCCUUCCCUCUUUUCCCAGCCAGUGUCCCGAGGGGCGGGUGGCAUUCCCACAUUCCAUGUUGGUAGCAAUACAGGAGUGCAGAUCCCAGGGGGUGUUCCCUGGGCUAUCUAUCCCAGGAGAGGGAAGGGAAUGAGCGGCCAAAAAAACCCAAAAACCUCCCCCCUCCCAAAACAACCACGAAAACCUGGGAUGUGUCUUUGCUUUUUGCGGGAACGGCGUCGCCCUCCUCCGGAUCCCGGGAUUUCUGGGGUGGCAGGAGCAGGCACAGGGAUGGAAGGGGCUCCUCCAGCCAGGAGAAAAGAGAGGGAACGAGUCCAAUCCCACCCCACGGCCUGGAAGUGUCUCCACUUGGAUUCCUCGCCCGUCGUUUUCCGCGGAUCCCUCCCGGAGCUGUCGGGACUGCGCCGACCCCCGGCGGGAUUCCCUCCGAAAAAAAAACCUCGGGAUGUUGCUGUUGUCAUUUCUGCUCCCCUUCGGGGCCGGAUGGACCAGGAGCUGUUCCCUGUGCUGGGAGGGAAGGCCCCGGCGGACUCUUGGAACGCUUUGGAAUUCCCCGGGAGCGCUUGGAAUGGCUUCGAGUUGGCUUUUGGGUUGUUCUCUCUUAGAUUUAUUUUUUUUUUUUUUUUUUGCCCUCCUCCUUUUGUUUUUUUUUCGGAUUUUUUCCCGCUUGGAAUUUGGGUAAAACCCAUCCAGGAGCUGCAGAUCCACAGGGAUUAUCCGGAAUCCACGAAUCCCUCGGAGCUGAUUUGAGUUGAGUUGAAUUUUUUUUGGUUGGUUGGUUGGUUUUUUUCUCUUUUUUUUUGUUUUUUUUUCCCUUUUUUUCCCCUUUUUUCCCCCCCUUUUCCCACCCCCCUUUUUCUUGCACCAGCUUGGUUCCCACAUCUUGCUUGUGUGUGUAAAAAAAAAAAAAACUGCGGGAAAACGAGAAAUUCCUGAGAGAGUGGGUUUAAAAAAAAAAAAAACAAUAAUUAAAAAAAAAAAUGUCGGGGAAGAAGAAGAAGAAAAGACAGAAGAAAAAAAAAGAAGAAGGAAAUUAAAAAAAAAAAAAAAAAAAAAAAAAGGAAAAAAAAAAAAAAAAAACCACAGCAAAAAAAAAUAAAAAAAAUCAUUUUGUGGAAAAAAAAAAAACA
rnacentral:lncRNA from 1 species